rnacentral:rRNA from 1 species
AUUGAACGCUGGCGGCAGGCCUAACACAUGCAAGUCGAGCGAGCGGCGGACGGGUGAGUAAUGUAUGGGGACUGCCCGAUAGAGGGGGAUAACUCCUGGAAACGGUAGCUAAUACCGCAUACUAUCGGAUAACCCAUAUGGGAUUAGCUCAUAGGUGAGGUAAUGGCUAACCUAGGCGACGAUCCCUAGCUGGUCUGAGAGGAUGAUCAGCCACACGGAGACUGCGACACGGCCCAGACUCGUACGGAGGCAGCAGUGGGCAAUAUUGCACACUGGGCGCAAGCCUGAUGCAGCCAUGCCGCGUGUAUGAAGAAGGCCCUAGGGUUGUAAAGUACUUUCAGUCGGGAGGCGUUACCGACAGAAGAAUCACCGGCUAACUCCGUGCCAGCAGCCGCGGUAAUAC